AACGUAGGUGGCAAGCGUUAUCCGGAAUUACUGGGCGUAAAGGGUGUGCAGGCGGGGAAGCAAGGGGGGUAUGAAAUUUCCCAGCUUAACUGGGAUAGGUUAUGCCAGACUGCUUUUCUAGAGGACGAGAGAGGGGGGUGGAAUUCCGGGUGUAGUGGUGAAAUGCGUAGAGAUCCGGAGGAACCCCAGAGGCGCAGGCGGCCCCCUGGCUCGUACCUGACGCUCAGCCACGAAAGCAUGGGGAGCGAACGGG
rnacentral:rRNA from 1 species